GAUAAACGCUUGCGGCAGGCCUAAUACAUGCAAGUCGUGGGGUAACAGGAGACUUCGGUCUCGCUGACGACCGGCAAACGGGUGAGUAACACGUAUGAAACUUACCUACAACAGAGAAAUAACCCAUGGAAACAUGUGGCUAAUAUCUCAUACGACAAUACCAUCACAUGUUGGAAUUGUAAAAAAUUUCGAUUGGUUGUAGAUAGUCAUGCGCUCCAUUAGCUUGUUGGUGAGGUAAAGGCUCACCAAGGCUCCGAUGGAUAGGGGGUUUGAGAGAAUGAUCCUCCACACUGGUACUGAGAUACGGACCAGACUCCUACGGGAGGCAGCAGUAAGGAAUAUUCGGCAAUGGGCGAAAGCCUGACCGAGCCAUGCCGCGUGUGGGAAGACGAUCUUCGGAUUGUAAACCACUUUUAUAUAGGAAUAAUGAGGUCACGUGUGACCAAAAUGAAGGUACUAUAAGAAUAAGCACCGGCUAACUCCGUGCCAGCCGCCGCCGUAACAC
rnacentral:rRNA from 1 species